AUCGGCCCCAAAGCCCAAAGAGAAAUGAGGUGUCCGGUGUGGAAGUGCAUCUCAGUCAACAGCCAGCUCCUUUGGCCGGGGCUGGAAAUGGUUUUAACAGGCGGUAAAAUUUCAUCUUGUGGUGUCAAAUUGGGGUCAGUUUGGGGUUAGCGCUCUCAGUGUCCGAGAAGGAGCUGUCCAGCUGUGUGGGGAUUCAUUAAGGGCAAAAGAUCCGUUUCAAGAAAAACAAUACAAAGACAAUCAGAGAGCUAAAGAUCCUCUUCAAAUCGCAUUUUACAAGUGCACCAGAACAAAUAUGGACGCUGAAACCUAUUCCCUUCAAACUCCCAAAUCGGCUUCUUAGCCCUCGGAGGGAGGGAAAAUCCGCUGCAGCCCGGCCGGGUCUGCUUCCAAUCACCGCCCCGAGGUGCGCCGGGCCCCGCGCCGCCCUCGCCCGCUCCCCUCUCCCCUUCGGCGCAGCGCUGCGGAGCGAUGGCACCACAACAGGGAGAUGUAUGCUUAAAGAGCCGCUGGAGCGAGCCCCGAGUUCCCGGGGGAGAAGGAAGGUUGGCCCGUGGAGAGGCAGCCGGCAGGAGAUGGUUGCCGCAGUGCGUGGCAAGUGCUUCUCCGAGAAAUCCAUCAGCCCUUCUACGGUGACUCCGAGGGAAGGGUGCUGCCAGCACUUUCGCGCAUUCCCAGGUGUUGCGAGGAGGAGAGAAGCAAAGGGCCGGAGCGCUUCAUGGGGGGCGGAGGGGGGGGGGGGGGUGAGGAGGGGAACCCGCCCAGUGCGUGUGGGACCGCGUGCCGGUCGGGGCCGGGGAACGCGCCCCUUCUGCCGUAAUUAGUCGGAACAAUAAACAUAAUUGGAAUAAAAUCGGUUGGAAAUUCCUGCGUUUUUAAUUACGUUUCAUUUUGCGGUAAGCCGUAGAAUUAUGAAUGCCUCUCAAUUAAACACUAUCCACUUGUAAAGCAUUUAACAACAAUUAUUCCUUAAUCAGUUGGAAUGUUAGCCACAAACGACGCUGUUAAACAUCAAAGGGACGCCUCAGACGUUACCUUUUAGUCAUAACUAAGAGGAUUAAUUUCUAUAAUUAGAGGGGAUAAAUAUGUGCAUAAAUACAUCUAAUUUUUUGACACGUUCCCAUCCCGGCUGGGAGAGGCGCGGCUCUUCGGCAGCGCCCGCACCGCCCGCGCUCCCGGCCCGGGGGA
rnacentral:lncRNA from 7 species